rnacentral:rRNA from 1 species
GACGAACGCUGGCGGCGUGCUUAACACAUGCAAGUCGAGCGGAAAGGCCCACUUGUGGGUACUCGAGCGGCGAACGGGUGAGUAUCACGUGAGUAAUCUGCCCUUCACUUCGGGAUAGCCUUGGGAAACUGAGAUUAAUAUCGGAUAUGAUUUCUGCCUGCAUGGGUGGGGUUGAAAGUUUUUCGGUGGAGGAUGUGCUCGCGGCCUAUCAGCUAGUUGGUGAGGUAACGGCUCACCAAGGCCAAGACGGGUAGCCGGCCUGAGAGGGUGUACGGCCACACUGGAAUUGAGAUACGGUCCAGACUCCUACGGGAGGCAGCAGUGGGGAAUCUUGGGCAAUGGGCGAAAGCCUGACCCAGCGACGCCGCGUUGGGGAUGAAGCCCUUCGGGGCGUAAACCCAUGUUGUAGGGGACGAAGAAAGUGACGGUACCCUACGAGAAAGCCCCGGCCAACUACGUG